rnacentral:rRNA from 1 species
AGUGAACGCUGGCGGUAGGCCUAACACAUGCAAGUCGAACGGCAGCACAGUAAGAGCUUGCUCUUACGGGUGGCGAGUGGCGGACGGGUGAGGAAUACAUCGGAAUCUACUUUUUCGUGGGGGAUAACGUAGGGAAGCUUACGCUAAUACCGCAUACGACCUACGGGUGAAAGCAGGGGACCUUCGGACCUUGCGCGAUUGAAUGAGCCGAUGUCGGAUUAGCUAGUUGGCGGGGUAAAGGCCCACCAAGGCGACGAUCCGUAGCUGGUCUGAGAGGAUGAUCAGCCACACUGGAACUGAGACACGGUCCAGACUCCUACGGGAGGCAGCAGUGGGGAAUAUUGGACAAUGGGCGCAAGCCUGAUCCAGCCAUACCGCGUGGGUGAAGAAGGCCUUCGGGUUGUAAAGCCCUUUUGUUGGGAAAGAAAAGCAGCAGGUUAAUACCCCGCUGUUCUGACGGUACCCAAAGAAUAAGCACCGGCUAACUUCGUG